rnacentral:lncRNA from 1 species
AGGCUGUGGAAAAAUCAGUUGACACGAGUUAGAUGUACGACAUGGACUGCUACUGUGCACGCAGAGACGGAGGAGCUCAGAGGAACAGUGCGUUUAUUCUGCAUAAGCAGAGGUCGCAGCAGCCGCCUAUGUGGCCUCUUUUAUAACAGCCCUGAAGAGGCCGGGCAUGCUGGCCCGAGCCUGUAAUCCCAGCACUUUGGGAGGCCAAGGUGGGCAGAUCAUCUGAGGUGAGGAGUUCGAGACAAGCCUGGCCAACAUGGUGAAACCCCAUCCCUACUAAAAAUACAAAAAUUAGCUGGGCGUGGUGGCAGACACCUGUAGUUCCAGCUACUCAGGAGGCUGAGGCAGGAGAAUCACUUGAACCUGGGAGGCAGAGGUUGCAGUGAGCCAAGAUCACGCCACUGCACUCCAGCCUGGGGGACAGAGUGAGACUCUGUCUCAAACAAACAAACAACAACAACAAAACCAGCCCUGAAGAAAGACUUGGGGUUUACAGAGCAGAGGACUUUCAACGCAAGGAUGCCCUGUGUCAGUGUGCAGAGGCUCAGAAGCACUGCUCUUUUGAACAAAAGACCAAACACUACAGAUUGAAGCUGGGUUCCUGAUGGACACCUGCUCAUGUGCUUCUCUAUUUCCAGCAGCAGAGUUGGCUGGUCUGCUGCACAAGCGGGGCGCCUCUCUCCUGGGCCCAUAUGGGAUUCCUGCAGUGCUUGGCACCCAUGGCCACUCACCUUUCUGCACCCUGCUCUACAUCAAAGGCCAUUUUCAGUUGAUAAUUAUGGAAAGCUCAGUGAUGAUGAUGAUUUUCUUGAAAUUAUUUGUAAAGCAACAACUAAUACUUGGAAAGUGAUACAUUUCAAUUUUGAAGACACUGAAAUUCAGUAAACUUUAUUCAAAUGUUAUUGCAUGACUUCAAUUUGCACUUUCCAAACAAAAAUGUUACACCUAGCAGUUCAUAUAUUUGACUAUUUUUAAUCCCUUCCUUCCUUUCUUUCUUUCUUCUUUCUUUUUCUCUUUCUUUUUCCUUUUUUCUUUAUUCCUUUCUUCCUUUCCUUCCUCUCCUUCCUUUCCUUCCUUCCUUCCUUUCUUUUUCUUUUUCUUUCUCUUUCUUUCUUCUUUCUUUUCUUUCUUCUUUCUUUCUCUCUCCCCUGCUCCUUCCUUCCUUCCUUCUUCCUUCCUUUCUUUUUCUUUUUUUUCUGAGACAGGGUCUCACACUGUCACCCAGGCUACAGUGCAGUGACACAAUCAUGGCUCACUGCAGCUUUGACUUCUGGACUCAGGUGACCCUCUGUCCUGCUCUCUCACCUCCCCAUGUAUCUGGG